CAUUCGCCGUAAUAAGGAAGGUUAACUAAAUUCAAUUAGAGAGAAAACUAAACUUUAACGUUUCUUGGUAGAGAGAAAUAGUGAUUAACACCAAAUGUUAGUUAUUUCCUGCCCAGGUUGUACCUUAAGCCUGAAUUAGCAGUCUUCAUAGAUGGUUUUACUAUUUAAAUAUAUAAUAUAAACGCAUGCGUCAACCAUUUUCAAACAUUUCUUAAGUAUUCCUUGGGCGCUUUGCGACAGUAUGGUAAAGUGAAUUGGUUGGUAAUUAAUUCCAGCAAAGCACGUGUCUCCUUGCCUUAGGUGGAAAGUCUCUGAUUUGAGAGGACUGCCUUCGAAGGAAAUCCCUGACGUGUGUUUACCCUGGAUAUCGAGGCAAAUACGAAUCUGUCAUGCAGUCAGUUAAUUCGUAACUGAGGUGUUCUGUGUAUGUAUUAGGCAGUUAAGAAACUUAAGUGCAUAGUGGACAACCUACAGGCACUAGGCCCGGACCUAUACGGUUCCAAUCAGCGCACAAAAAUAGCUGCUGGUCCGCAGUCGAAGUGUCGAGCAGCCAAAGUGCAAUUCCCAGGUUACGAUAAUUGACACCAAGCGUUUAGAAUAGAUGGAAUAAACAAGACGUCACACAAGUGAAACCAAGGAAAUGUUAGCAACGUGACGUCCAGGCUUAUAGCUGCCUUACAACUACGAAACAUAUUGUUAAAUAAAAUUACACUAGAUUUGAAAGCAAAUAUCAACAUUCGCAGGCUGAGAAAAGUUUUUCUAGUCAUAAUUUGCAUAAAAUACCA